AUUAAGUGACAUACUGUAGUUACGACGGAGAUGUAGUUGGUGAGUUUGAAAAGACGAGGGCAAGUCAUAUCGUGAGCAACACUAAGGAUGGCCACACGACGGAUGGAUCAGUCAAACUGGUUUCACCAUCAUGGAUUUGGAAGUGUAUCAAGAAGGGACAUCUUGUGCCUGAAAAUAAAUUUGCAUUGUAAAUUAUAAAAUAUUUAAGCGAAGUUUCUAUUUAUACCACGUGCACACAUUUUAUGGAACUAUCAGACCUGUACAUGAUAUGUCAUAGUCUUUUGAUCUCAGAUGUUAAAUUUCUCAUGCUUCCUCACAUAACACUAUGUAUUGUAAGGGGUUUUAAGUUCGCUGCGCGAAUUCACAAAAAAAAAAGCACAUCCAGGAAUGUUUGGUGACAAUCAGCAAGCACGGAGGGAAUUGGGGUAUGCAUAUUUGCGUAUUUGUGUCAGCGGGAUUAGGGUUUGAUAGGGUUAAAUUUGCCAUUUCAUUGAUCCUUGCUCCACUGAAUAAAUUUUCAGUUUAACAUAAACGGAAAUAAACCGUAACCACAAUGUUUGCAUACUUGUUUCGAGCUUCGUAACGCUGCAAUUUAUCACAUAUUUAAGACUAAUUAACGAUCACAAAACUCAAAACAGUGUUCCUUCUUCAAUAAACACUCCUCGUUUUGAA